UGUAAGUUUUCACUUUGCUUGUUGAAUUUGUUAGUAAUGGAGCUAUGAAUUUAUGAGAUUCAUCGCGUUUAGUUUGUUUGAAAAUCGAGUUUUGAAUAAUGUAUACCUUGUUGCAAAUUUUUAUUGAUAUCCUUUGAUUCUAAUCAAGUUAUAACUUAAUCUGUUCUUUAGGGUUGAUUCUUCAGGAAGUUAAAGAUUGAAUCUUUUCUUGGACUAUGUGCUCUUUCAGAGAAACUUAAGAUGUUGAUUGUCAUUCUCAUUCCCUUCAAACUUGGAGUUGUCUACUUUUUAUGUUCCUCGUUUCACUUCUUCUUGGUUGGUUUAAGGUUAAAGUUUUCUUUUUACCAAAAAAA